GGGGGCGAAUAGGAUUCGACGUUUUUAUUGGAUUCCAAAGCGCAUGUCAAGAAUGAAGUUUUCUUGUAAAAAUUACUUCAAAAUUUUAGUUGCAAAUAACGACAACUACGCUUUAGCUGCUUAAAUAGCUAAACCUGCUGUAAAGAAUGGUUACGGUCUGAAACAGCGGUCAUUUACGUAGCCUAGUUAAGUUAUGCUUCUCGAGCAUAACUUGAUGAAACUUAAAUCGAGAUCUACCUUUUAUGUCCUGCUCUUCGGGUUUUCAAGGCAAAUGAUAAUAGAAUGAGCUAAGCAUGUAGAAGCGAGGUUGAAGGACUAACGGACGCGGGUUCAAUUCCCGCCGCCUCCACCA
rnacentral:tmRNA from 1 species